ACAAGCCUGAGAAACGGCUAGUAGGACUAAGGUCUGCAGCAGGCGCGAAACUUACACAAUGCUAGAUUAAAAUUAGCGAUGUAGUGAAGAAAAAUAACGAUGUACUUUCAUCUACAAAUGAUAGUACAAUUGGAAUGAGACGACUAUAAACCAGUUAGUCGAGUAACAAAUGGAGGGCAAGUCUGGUGCCAGCAGCCGCGGUAAUUCCAGCUCCAUUAGCAUACAUUAAAGUUGUUGCGGUUAAAAAGCUCGUAGUUGAAUUUUAGGCGAGCUCUAUUGGAUUGCAACCGUAAAGACUGCCUUGCUCACGCUCGGUCAGUUGGUUGUAUCAUCCUAUAGGAACUCGCUGUUUCGUCACUUAAUCGAGUGCGAAGCGGGCUGAAACAUUUGUUUAAACUUCGCGUUUGCAUUGUUCCAGCAAGUUUACCUUGAGAAAAUUAGAGUGCUCACAGCAGGCAGUUGGGGUGUAAAAGCCCCUUUAUGCUUGGAUAAUGUUGCAUGGAAUAAUAGAAUACGGCCUCGGUUCUAUUCUGUUGGUCUUAUAGAACAACAAACAAGUUGGUUAAAGCGACAAAAAGUUCGUUUGUGAGUGUGGCUAUAAGGGUCUUUCAUGUUGUUUAGUUCUGUCUUUAAGGGUUAUGUUGCCUGGGAGUAAAACCUCAGAGCCAUGCCCUUCCAGUCUAGUCUACACAGCUGUCUGUUACUCUUAUAACCAUUUAAAGCACUCCUAACUGGGCUAGCUUUCUAAUCAACUGAGGCAAUGGUUAAAAGAAAUAGUCGCGGCGGCAUCAGUACUGCAUCGUGAGAG
rnacentral:rRNA from 1 species